CCUACGGGAGGCAGCAGUGAGGAAUAUUGGUCAAUGGACGCAAGUCUGAACCAGCCAUGCCGCGUGCAGGAUGACGGCUCUAUGAGUUGUAAACUGCUUUUGUACGAGGGUAAACCCCGAUACGUGUAUCGUGUUGAAAGUAUCGUACGAAUAAGGAUCGGCUAACUCCGUGCCAGCAGCCGCGGUAAUACGGAGGAUCCGAGCGUUAUCCGGGUUUAUUGGGUUUAAAGGGUGCGUAGGCGGUUUGAUAAGUUAGGGGUGAAAUGUCGGGGCUCAACCCCGAAACUGCCUCUAAUACUGUUGGACUAGAGAGUAGUUGCGGUAGGCGGAAUGUAUGGUGUAGCGGUGAAAUGCUUAGAGAUCAUACAGAACACCGAUUGCGAAGGCAGCUUACCAAACUAUAUCUGACGUUGAGGCACGAAAGCGUGGGUAGCAAACAGGAUUAGAUACCCUUGUAGUC
rnacentral:rRNA from 1 species